CGGAGGAUGGAUUUGACUGCUUGCAACCUCAAUAAAAAAUGCUAAAACCU
rnacentral:ncRNA from 1 species